rnacentral:lncRNA from 1 species
CUCUUCUCUCGUCUGCUGCCACGUGAGACAUGCCUUUCACCUUGAGCCAUGAUUGUGAGGCUUCCCCAACCACGUGGAAUUAUAAAGAAGCUGAAGUCACGAAGGAAAAACAAAUCCUGUCACAGUCUCAUGGGACGGGGUAGGAACUAGAACCAACGACUCAUCCAGAGUUCAUAUUAACUCCGAACUGUUGCCACCAUUUACAGAGACUCAUAGGAGAAGCCGCUUGCUCUACAGUGUGAGGAUUGCAAGCUGUGCUAGGAUUCAAGCUCAGAGUCCCUGAGCCUUUGUCUCCUGUUCUUUCCUGUGUGCUUAUGUGGUCAGUCCACUUUCCUUCUCCGACAUGAAGGCUUGGCCCAUUCCAAGUCUCCUUUGGAAGAAAAUGGGUAAACUAUGAAUGCCAUUGUUUAACACUGUCAAUUGGAAUAUUAAAAUGUUUCUUUCAUUAGAAAUAAACUUUUGUCAAUUUAAACAGUGGAAGAG